GCGGGAGUGGCGGAACAGGUAGACGCGCCAGGUUUAGGUCCUGGUGCCUUCGGGCGUGUGGGUUCGAGUCCCUCCUCCCGCA
rnacentral:tRNA from 2 species